rnacentral:rRNA from 1 species
AUUGAACGCUGGCGGCAUGCCUUACACAUGCAAGUCGAACGGUAACAGGUCUUCGGAUGCUGACGAGUGGCGAACGGGUGAGUAAUGCAUCGGAACGUGCCGAGUAGUGGGGGAUAACGCAGCGAAAGUUGUGCUAAUACCGCAUACGUACUGAGGUAGAAAGUGGGGGACCUUCGGGCCUCACGCUAUUCGAGCGGCCGACGUCUGAUUAGCUAGUAGGUGAGGUAAGAGCUCACCUAGGCGACGAUCAGUAGCGGGUCUGAGAGGAUGAUCCGCCACACUGGGACUGAGACACGGCCCAGACUCCUACGGGAGGCAGCAGUGGGGAAUUUUGGACAAUGGGCGCAAGCCUGAUCCAGCCAUGCCGCGUGUCUGAAGAAGGCCUUCGGGUUGUAAAGGACUUUUGUCAGGGAGGAAAUCCUAGUGGCUAAUAACUGCUGGGGAUGACAGUACCUGAAGAAUAAGCACCGGCUAACUACGUGCCAGCCGCCGCAGUAACAC